rnacentral:rRNA from 1 species
AUUGAACGCUGGCGGCAGGCCUAACACAUGCAAGUCGAACGGUAACAGGGAUCAGCUUGCUGAUUCGCUGACGAGUGGCGGACGGGUGAGUAAUGUCUGGGAAACUGCCUGAUGGAGGGGGAUAACUACUGGAAACGGUAGCUAAUACCGCAUAACGUCGCAAGACCAAAGAGGGGGACCUUCGGGCCUCUUGCCAUCGGAUGUGCCCAGAUGGGAUUAGCUAGUAGGUGGGGUAACGGCUCAACUAGGCGACGAUCCCUAGCUGGUGUGAGGGGAUGACCAGCCACACUGGAACUGAGACACGGUCCAGACUCCUACGGGAGGCAGCAGUGGGGAAUAUUGCACAAUGGGCGCAAGCCUGAUGCAGCCAUGCCGCGUGUAUGAAGAAGGCCUUCGGGUUGUAAAGUACUUUCAGCGGGGAGGAAGGGAGUAAAGUUAAUACCUUUGCUCAUUGACGUUACCCGCAGAAGAAGCACCGGCUAACUCCGUG